rnacentral:rRNA from 1 species
UACGGAGGGAGCUAGCGUUGUUCGGAAUUACUGGGCGUAAAGCGCACGUAGGCGGCUUUGUAAGUUAGAGGUGAAAGCCCGGGGCUCAACCCCGGAAUUGCCUUUAAGACUGCAUCGCUUGAACGUCGGAGAGGUGAGUGGAAUUCCGAGUGUAGAGGUGAAAUUCGUAGAUAUUCGGAAGAACACCAGUGGCGAAGGCGGCUCACUGGACGACUGUUGACGCUGAGGUACGAAAGCGUGGGGAGCAAACAGG